rnacentral:rRNA from 1 species
AACGAACGCUGGCGGCAUGCCUAACACAUGCAAGUCGAACGAGACCUUCGGGUCUAGUGGCGCACGGGUGCGUAACGCGUGGGAAUCUGCCCUUGGGUUCGGAAUAACAGUUGGAAACGACUGCUAAUACCGGAUGAUGACGUAAGUCCAAAGAUUUAUCGCCCAAGGAUGAGCCCGCGUAGGGUUAGCUAGUUGGUGAGGUAAAGGCUCACCAAGGCGACGAUCCUUAGCUGGUCUGAGAGGAUGAUCAGCCACACUGGGACUGAGACACGGCCCAGACUCCUGCGGGAGGCAGCAGUGGGGAAUAUUGGACAAUGGGCGAAAGCCUGAUCCAGCAAGGCCGCGUGAGUGAUGAAGGCCUUAGGGUUGUAAAGCUCUUUUACCCGGGAUGAUAAUGACAGUACCGGGAGAAUAAGCUCCGGCUAACUCCGUG